CAGGUGGCUAUGGAUUUUCAUCACAGGUUGCAGCAGUUGGCUUCUAUAGUUCUCUUCCUGCUCAAGCUGAGAAGCAUGGAUAUAAUUUGGCAUUUUCUUUUUUACUAUAAGCUGGUGUUGAGGAAGGGGCUUUGGCAGUAGAAGCAACCAACACGCAUGUCUGUUUCCACUGUGGAAAGCAUCUGGAAAGCCGUCCCCACUGGUGUGACAGACAGAGCGUGCACAUCAGCUACUGUGGCAGCAACAUGAACAGCACAGAUAUAACAAGACUGCUUCACGGCCAGAAGUCACUGUCAGAAGCCCCCAGUGUCCAGGUGCAGCUUGAGCUCACAGAUGUUUUAAAAGGAUUCCCUGUCCUCCGAGGGGAGACCUCAAGUUUAGACUCUCUCCACAUAAUGUCUGGCUAUGGAUCUGCGUCUGACCCCAUCUGUUGCUGGAGGAAGCCUCUGUGAUGAUGGCGAGAGAACAUGCCAGUCUAAAUCUAGCCUUCAUCCAGCGGCUGAUGGACGCAGAAGCAGACACUCACAGCUAAGCACUGAGCCACACUCCUGGAAUCCAGUUUCAGAGAGGAGGAGUGACGAACAAAGUGGAUAGCUUUUCACAAAGGAAAAACCAGCCUCACUUGGUGUAUGCAUGGCCAAGAAAGAAGCAUGCUUGAUGAGAUCAGAGGGUCAUGAUGAGCAGGCCCUUCUCCCACUAGACACUGCAACAAGAGAGCUGGCGCCGACCAUUACAGGACCUGCUGGAGCUCGUGAAGGGACUGGUCUUAUGGAACAAUAUCCUCAGAUCUCCAUGACUUGGGGUGGCCACGAGAAAUCCAGUGAUGAUGGUGUACCAGGAACCAGAGGCCUUGAACCAGACCAAUGACUUGUUGCAAUGAGCAUUUGCAAGUAAAGCUGAUUGGACAAAAAGGUACAUUGUGACACACAGCAGCUCCCAGUGCCACCAGGGUGAUUAAACAGUUGUGGGAGAUGCAGGAAAGAUGGAGGAG